rnacentral:tRNA from 1 species
GCUCUCAUAGCUCAGAUGGAUAGAGCAUUGGUUUCCUAAACCAAGGGUCAUAGGUUCGAAUCCUAUUGAGAGCG